AACCUUUUGUAGUUAGUUCAUGAGCGUGAUGAUUGGGUGUCAUGGGCUUGUGUGAUAUGUGCCUCCCUCAAGCCUUGUUAUAACUUCAGCACAUUAUCUGUCUGAUG
ensembl:snoRNA